UCAUAGAAUGCAAAACCGAGUUUACUUUGUCAUAGAUGAAUAGUGAUAGUUCAGUGGGUGAAAUGGACAUACAGAGAACUUCAAAACCCCACCGACACCUCCUUCCUAUGCAAAUCUCACAAUUCGAAACUCCCGCCAUAAAACGAGCGAAUCCAAACGAAGCUGCGAGUUUACGCAAACUCGCAGGUGGUACCUUAUUUGGCUCUGGCCUGUACAUUUGUCACGCCUCAAAAUUUACAUACAGACCAGCCCACUGGAAUUAUAAAGCAGACAGUUCUUCAAGGAUAUCGAAAAUGAGCCACGGUCGUAAAUGCAGUGUUCCAGGUUGAAACUUAGGCUACAAAGAAAGCUGAGACUUUCCAUAGUCUUCCCAAGGAUUCAAAAGUUCGAGGGGCAUGGAUAAUUGCUACCAGAAGAAGAUCCCUGCAAAGUUCGACACUUCGUUAUUAAUUUGCAAAACAUUUCACCGAAGGCAGUUUUCAAAACCUUGUACAGUUAAGCAGGAUUUGCUAAGCUGCUGUUACUGAAACGAGGGGCUGUUCCGACCGUAAGGUCAUCACAACCGCAUGCUGUUUUAUCUAGCAGCCAUGCACUUCAAUGAGAAUGCUGAGUCCCCACAACAGAAGACAGCCAAGGAGAAACUAUGUACAGACUUGCCAAACAAUUUAUCAUCAAAGACCCUCUUCCUUAUUGGGAUGCCGUCCAGCGGAUUCCUGUGCCCCAGGACUUGUGUGCUCAGCU